rnacentral:hammerhead_ribozyme from 1 species
AUUCAACUGGCGAGUCCCAAAUAGGAUGAAAUGCGUGUCCUGGAU